rnacentral:lncRNA from 1 species
UGUUUUGCGCAAAAAUCUUCCUAAUUAAUUUUACUUUUAGCCUCCGUUUGGUUCGGGGUUAAGAAAAAAGUAGCUAUUCCAGGGAUAGAGUUAAGUUCAGGGUUAAAGUGGGGUUAAAGUUUUUUUGUGUUUGGUUGGGGGUUGGAGUUAGUCUAGAAUAAUAAAAAAUAGUGUUUGGUUGGGUAGGUGGGAUAAAAAGAUAAUGAUUGAUAAAGAAGGAUAAUGAUUGGUUGGAGUAGGUGUGAUAAGAAAGAUAGUGAGUUAUUAUGAAUAGAAAAUAGUGUUUAGUUGGAGUUUGGUGGGGUUAGGUGGGGUUAGCUAACCCGGGAUAAUUUAUUUGAUGUAAGGUUAGGUGGGGUUAGCUAACCCCACCUAUUUUUUGAGAUAUUUGGGAAUAAAAUGGGGGUUAAGGGGUUAUUCCACCGCUUAACCCCAACCAAACAAGAGCUUAGUUU